UACGGAGGGUGCAAGCGUUAUCCGGAUUCACUGGGUUUAAAGGGUGCGUAGGUGGGUUGGUAAGUCAGUGGUGAAAUCUCCGAGCUUAACUUGGAAAACUGCCAUUGAUACUAUCAGUCUUGAAUACCGUGGAGAUGAGCGGAAUAUGUCAUGUAGCGGUGAAAUGCUUAGAUAUGACAUAGAACACCAAUUGCGAAGGCAGCUCGUUACACGAAUAUUGACACUCAGGCACGAAAGCGUGGGGGAUCAAACAGG
rnacentral:rRNA from 1 species